AUGAUACUAAAUUCACCUAACUUACCAAAAUUUGCAAAAAAAACUCUCUCCCUUUUAAUGUUUAUUUCCCUGAUUACAAUUCGUAAUUUGCAGGUGUCUCCUGCUAAAACCCUCAAGAACGUUGUGGCGAAAUGGACCAUGUAUAAGGACGAGUGCAGCCGCAACAUCAGCAGAGAACCUCUGCUCACUGGUUUGGUCUGUAACAGGACAUUUGACAGGUAUGCCUGUUGGCCUGAUGGGCUGCCCAACACCACUGUCAGUGUGCCCUGUCCCUGGUACCUGCCGUGGUAUCACCAAGUCCGGCAAGGAUUUGUGUAUCAAGAAUGUGAUGCCAACGGCCAGUGGGUGUCCAUUAGGAACACAAGCGAGUGUGAACCGAAGGACCAAACGCAAGACACCUCGCAGUAUGGAAGGAUCCUCAACAUGUUUCGGGCUGUGUACACCGUGGGCUACUCUCUCUCGCUGGGGGCGUUGGUGCUGGCACUGGGCAUCCUGGUGGCAUUCAGGAAGCUGCACUGUAUGAGGAACAACAUUCACAUGAACCUGUUUGCCUCUUUCAUCCUGCGAGCGCUGGCAAUCCUCAUCAAAGAUGCCCUGCUGGAGACCCCCACCAUUGGCCAGGACAUCUCCACUGACUAUGAAGUAGAGUUACUAGUCAAUAAUGAGACAGCCAUUGGGUGUCGCGUUGCCGUAGUGAUGAUGCAGUACAGCAUAAUUGCCAAUAGUUACUGGCUGCUCGUGGAGGGAAUCUACCUGCAUAACCUGCUGGUCGUCACAGUUCUGACGGAAAAGAACUACUUCAGCAUAUACCUGUGCAUUGGCUGGGGAGCCCCUCUGAUAUUCGUGUUCCCUUGGGUUAUUGUGAAGUACCUGUAUGAGAAUGAGGAGUGCUGGGAGCAAAACAUAAACCUGAAAUACUGGUGGAUCAUCCGCUCACCUAUACUGCUGGCAGUUCUGAUUAACUUCUUCAUCUUCUUGCACAUUGUGAAGAUACUUGUGUCCAAGCUGAGAGCUCAUCAAAUGAGAUACUCAGACUACAAGUUCAGACUGGCCAAGUCCACCCUCACCCUCAUCCCUCUGCUUGGUAUUCAUUUGGUCCUCUUUUCCUUCGUCACGGACGAGUCUACCUCAAAUGGCGCUGUAGCUCUGCGCCUCACUAAGCUCUUCAUUGACCUCUUCUUCAAUUCUUUCCAGGGUCUCCUUGUGGCUAUUUUAUACUGCUUCGUCAACAAAGAGGUUCAGUCUGAGAUCUUGAAGAAGUGGAAACGCUGGAAGCUGGGCAGGAAUAUAGAGGAAGAGUACCGUCACACAUACAGCCACACCGCUCACGUCAGGGGUGGCAGCAUUUUGGCUCAGCCCUCUGCCAUGCCCAGACUGCCAGACAUCACUGCCACCAAAUCCCCGCCCUGCAGCCUGGAGGAGAAACAAGCUCUGGUGGCUGGCUGCCAGAACGGAAUGGGCCGAAAACAGGCAGGCUGCUGCUUCAUCACCACGCCACGAGAGGGUGCCACCAACUGCAGCCUGCUAUCUGAGAACAUCUUACUGAUGGACAAGGUGCAAGGUGAACCAAAAAAAAAAAAAAAAAACCUGUUACGCUGA
ensembl:lncRNA